GAGUUUCCUGUCCAUAUGUGGUACAGAUUCUAAAGAGCGAGAUAACAUUUGGAUAAGGAGCCAGAGGGAGAUACAAGGAUAGUGACCACAUUGGCUGUCUUGAGUUGUCAUUUCACAGGAUGGUUUGGGUUGAAAGAGGCCUCUAAGAUCACCUGGUUUCCAACUCCCCAGUUUCAAUGAAGACAGCUUCAUCCCGGAUGUUUCUCAAGUUCAAGCAGUUAUAAAAUUUGGUCAGUGCAGUCUCUCCAUCUUCUCUGAAACAAUCUCCUGAGACAGCUGGAUUGAGUGAGUAGUGAAAUGAGAACUCAAGGGCUUGGACCAUGUUGAAUGAGAUGUGUAUCCUGCACAGUAAGUC
rnacentral:lncRNA from 1 species